UACGUAGGCAGCAAGCGUUGUUCGGAGUUACUGGGCGUAAAGGGUGCGUAGGCGGCUUUUUAAGUUUGGUGUGAAAUCUCCCGGCUCAACUGGGAGGGUGCGCCGAAUACUGAGAGGCUAGAGUGCGGGAGAGGAAAGUGGAAUUCCUGGUGUAGCGGUGAAAUGCGUAGAUAUCAGGAGGAACACCGGUGGCGAAGGCGGCUUGCUGGGCCUUACCUGACGCUGGAGGAGCGAAAGCGUGGGGAGCGAACAGG
rnacentral:rRNA from 1 species